CCUACGGGGGGCUCCGUGGGGAAUAUUGCACAAUGGGCGCAAGCCUGAUGCAGCCAUGCCGCGUGUGUGAAGAAGGCCUUCGGGUUGUAAAGCACUUUCAGCGGGGAGGAAGGCGUUAAGGUUAAUAACCUUGGCGAUUGACGUUACCCGCAGAAGAAGCACCGGCUAACUCCGUGCCAGCAGACGCGGUAAUACGGAGGGUGCAAGCGUUAAUCGGAAUUACUGGGCGUAAAGCGCACGCAGGCGGUCUGUCAAGUCGGAUGUGAAAUCCCCGGGCCCAACCUGGGAACUGCAUUCGAAACUGGCAGGCUAGAGUCUUGUAGAGGGGGGUAGAAUUCCAGGUGUAGCGGUGAAAUGCGUAGAGAUCUGGAGGAAUACCGGUGGCGAAGGCGGCCCCCUGGACAAAGACUGACGCUCAGGUGCGAAAGCGUGGGGAGCAAACAGGAUUAGAUACCCUAGUAGUC
rnacentral:rRNA from 1 species